GGCUUAUCUCCCCCAAGAGUCCACAUCGACGGGGAGGUUUGGCACCUCGAUGUCGGCUCAUCGCAUCCUGGGGCUGUAGUCGGUCCCAAGGGUUGGGCUGUUCGCCCAUUAAAGCGGUACGCGAGCUGGGUUCAGAACGUCGUGAGACAGUUCGGUCCCUAUCCGUCGUGGGCGUAGGAAAUUUGAGAGGAGCUGUCCUUAGUACGAGAGGACCGGGAUGGACAUACCGCUGGUGUACCAGUUGUCUUGCCAAAGGCAUCGCUGGGUAGCUAUGUAUGGACGGGAUAAGUGCUGAAAGCAUCUAAGCAUGAAGCCCCCCUCAAGAUGAGAUUUCCCAUUACGCAAGUAAGUAAGACCCCUGAAAGACGAUCAGGUAGAUAGGUUCGAGGUGGAAGUGCGGUGACGCAUGCAGCUGACGAAUACUAAUCGGUCGAGGACUUAACCACAUUU
rnacentral:rRNA from 1 species